CUAUUCUCAAUAUUAAAAGUUGAAUUACAUAUUUUAAGAUUUAAUUCUUGUUUUUUGAGGGGUUCCUUGUAAUAUGAAUGAAUUUUAUUCAUAAUGUUGAUCAGGAUUGUGGAGAGUGUAGGUGAGGGUGUGACUCAUCUGAAACCAGGGGAUCAUGCCCUGCCUGUAUUCACAGGGGAGUGUGGGGACUGUCCACAUUGUAAGUCAGAGGAAAGCAACAUGUGUGAUCUUCUUAGGAUCAACACUGACAGGGGUGUUAUGAUCAAUGACAAUCAGUCAAGAUUCUCUAUUAAGGGACAGCCCAUUCACCAUUUUGUCGGUACAUCGACAUUCAGUGAAUACACUGUGGUUCAUGCUGGAUGUGUUGCAAAGAUCAACCCUGAUGCACCUCUUGAUAAAGUUUGUAUUCUCAGCUGUGGAAUAUGCACAGGUAUAGGAGAUUCCAAUGUUUGGAUUGACUUAUUUAAGCUUAUCUAUUGAAAUGAACAUACGUGAGACUGUUUGAGAGAGCUUAUGAAAACAACUUAUGACAUGACCGUAAGUUGUUUUAAACUUAUUUUUAUAACUUCUCUAGGAUAGUUUAUGAAAACAAUUUAUAGCUUAUAUUGAAACACUGACUUUAUUUUUAUAUUUCAUUAUGGAAAUAGCUUAUGAGUAAGUACUUAAAUGAUAAGGGCUUAUAUUGUAAACUCUUAUUAAUUAAGCUGUUUAUCCAAGUAGUGUAUAAUAUAUCCUUGCAUUGAGAUAUUAAUAUAUAACUAGGUUGAGUAUAUGAUUUCCUAAUUCAAUUUGCAUUCAUGGUCUUAGGUCUUGGUGCUACCAUCAAUGUUGCUAAACCGAAACCCGGUUCUUCUGUUGCUAUCUUUGGACUUGGAGCUGUUGGCCUUGCUGUAUGUUACUUUCAUACCAUGAGUGUGUGUGUUUGUGAUACUGUUAUCAUAUAUAGCAGCAACUAAAAAGAUUCAAUAAUACAAAUUUCAGGCUGCUGAAGGAGCAAGGAUAUCUGGUGCAUCAAGAAUCAUUGGAGUCGAUUUAGUUUCCAGCCGUUUCGAAUUAGGUAAAAUGCUUUCUUAUUCCACCAAAUGCUUUAAGCUUUGAGAUAACCAUAAAUAAUGUGACUUAAUUUUUGUAAUAUUCUUGUUCUCAGCUAAGAAGUUUGGGGUAAAUGAGUUUGUGAACCCAAAAGAUCAUGACAAACCUGUACAACAGGUUAGUUCAACAAAAUAUUAGUAUUUACAUUCUCUCUAAACUUUGUUAGUUGAAUAUUGAAAUUAUGAAUUGAACAUGCUGUGUCAUUUUGCGUGUAAGGUAAUUGCUGAAAUGACAAAUGGAGGUGUAGAUCGUGCUGUUGAAUGUACCGGUAGCAUACAAGCUAUGAUAUCGGCAUUUGAAUGUGUCCAUGAUGUAUGUAAAACGUUAACUUUUUGCAUUUGUUGAUAAAAGUUUAUAAUAAUCUUUAGUGUGGCUGAACCUUUAUUUGUUGUUUUUCUUAGGGUUGGGGUGUUGCUGUACUUGUUGGAGUGCCAAACAAAGAUGAUGCAUUCAAAACUCAUCCUAUGAAUUUGUUGAAUGAAAGGACUCUUAAGGGUACCUUUUAUGGAAACUACAAACCCCGCACCGAUCUUCCUAAUGUUGUAGAAAAGUACAUGAAAGGGGUAAGUUUAUUUAUAUUGAAUUGUGCAAGCUUUUAGUAGAAGUGAGUGAUCACUAAUGUAGAUUGAUAUUAUUUAUUUUGAUGCUAAUUUGUUGAUAAUUUGAUACUGCAGGAGCUGGAACUUGAGAAAUUCAUCACUCACACAAUUCCAUUUUCAGAGAUUAACAAAGCUUUUGAUUACAUGUUGAAAGGAGAGUCCAUCAGAUGUAUCAUCCGAAUGGAGGAGUAAAACUCUAGAACAUUGUUGAAGUAGUCCCUACUAGGGGACUAUGUUCUCAAUCUGGUAGUUAAAAAAUAAAUAAUGAAAUUGAUUCGUUCCAUUUCUGUUUAUUGAAUUUGCGCACUUUGUGAAGUUUGAUUGGAGAGACAGAGACUGUGACAUUUGGUACCUAUAGUAUAUGCAAAUAUAAUGUUUGUUUUGUUAACUUCUUGCUACUAUUCUUGUAAUUUUUUAAUUGAUACUUUAGAUCCUAAAAUAAAAUAAAAAACAUUUUUUAUUUAUUAAGUGCGAAAUUCAUUUAUGAAAAAGGGAAAACAAAAGUCAAGAGGACACAAAUAAAACUUAGUAGAAUAAAAAAAGAGAAGAAAAAUACGAAUAAAACUAAAAAGAUUCACAGAUUCUCAAAAAUAGUUUUUCUCCGUAUCAGUACAAGAAUCAAGAAUACGCAUAUCAGAGAAAGUAAUACUCUUUUAAUCCUCUAUUUAUUUUUUGUCUCAAUUAUCCAUAAAAUUUUCAGCAUGUAAUACUCGAGCAUGUGAUAAUGACUUUGACCAAAGACAAACUUUUUAUGAGGCUAGUGACAAUGGGAUCACUAUUUCCUUUACGCCUAACAACCCUUUUUACAUGCUUUAAAUCAAACUCAAGUGAGGAUUUCUACAUUCUAAUUUAUUUUCGACCAUAGUUUAAGUUUCAAGGCGCAUGUAAAUGGCCUCUCGUAUCAUAAUUACAAUAGAUUGGUCUAAAUGUUAGGGACUUUGGGCUACUUAAACAAAUGAUCCGGGAUUCAAUCUCUAUCUUAUGCGUAUGGAAAAAAUUCAGUUAAAAGGGUGAACUCAAUUUGUGUGCCAAACAGAUUCUUCAACGGAUAUUGUUCACUGCUAAGCAGUAGGGAAAACUUUGUAUCUAUAACAUGGUAAUGUCUAACAAAAAAUACAACAUUUGCUUAUAAGGGACAUUCAAACUCACUUCGAUUGACUUGAUGGUGUUGACUUGGAACCUUGGAGUAUGCUGCUCCUCAAGGUCUCAUGUUCGAUCAUUCCUAGUGCUAAUUUAGAUGAGCUAAUUUCUCUUCUUUAUUUAUCGCUUUAAAAUAUAAAGACAAUAUUUAUGAAUUUUUCUUGAUAAUAAUCAAUUAAUUUAAUUGUAUAUUUUAAGGAGAUUAAAUGGUUCACUAAUUCACUUAACUAUUCUACUAUUACUACUUUUGUAAAAAAAUAUUCUACUAUUACUAUUUUUUUUCGACAAAAUAAACAAUAUUCAUUCAUUCAAAUUGAUAGAGUACAUUGAUACAAUACAAAUCCAAAUUCGCUAAAAACAAAAAGGAUGAAUCUGUGAACAAACUCACAUCAUCCGUGUUAAUAGCAUAAAACGACAAAGUACCCAAGCCUACAAAUAUGACUAUAUUCAUGUAUCCGAAAUACUCAUGUCUUCGGAUCUGCAACGUCGACGACGCCAAAGUCAUUGUCAUUGAUCGGAUCUGCACUUGCUCAAAACUAAUCUUUCAACCUGAAUCAAAGAAACACCGCACUAAGACGGGAAAUCAAAAACACACCGCACAAAGACGGGAAAUCAAAACAAACAGAGAGUCGUUCAGAAACGACGAAAUCACAAAAACAAACGAAAGAAAACAGAAAAUAAGUGAAAUCACUUAUUCAAUUAGGAUAAAAGGAAAAAACAAUUCGAAUUGAUGAUUUUUGGGUCAAAAUUGACCCUAAAUCACCCCUAAAAGAAGAAGGGAGCGACGACUAGGGUUUGAGAAGGAGAGAAGAGAGAGACCUCUUGAUAUAUUUAUUUACCUUUUUUUUUUCUUUCUACUAUUACUACUGUUUUUAUUACUUUUUUUUAGGGAUGUUUUUAUUACUUAUACUGUUACUAUUUUAAACAACUAUGAUUAACAUUAAUAUUUUAGAUUACAUACGAUAUUUUUUAUUUUUUUUAAAACAGUUUUGUGGUUAGAAUUUAAACCUCGAUCAUUGUAUAUUGUAAUGUAUUGUCUUUAUCAAUUGCGUGAUGUUAAUAGAGACAUACCCAUUAUUUACUUACAAGAAUCAACAUAUUUAUUUAAUUUUCACAUUAUUUUUUAAAUCAGAAAAACAUAUUUUGUUUUAUUUUUUUGAAAUAUGUGCCUAGCUUUAAAUGUCAGUUAUGUUAAUCCCGUAUCACUCUCAUCUUUCCAUCAUUUGUGUGGUGUGUGAAAAAUGAGUUACUCCCUAUGUCUUAUGUCCUUUUAGAAAGAAAAAAAAAAUGUUGCCAUUAAUUAUAUGUCAUUUUACGAUAUCAAAAAAUUAUUAAGGACUAUUUUUCUAUUGUGUCACUUUUCUAUACAUUUUCUAUCAUGUUAUUUACUAUUUAUUACUUUAUUUUUUCAAUUUUUUUAAUUUAUGUUUUUCAAAAAAAUAUUUUUGUAAAAAUAACUCACAAUCACUCUUUACUAUACAACAUUAACUAUAUUUCUCAAUUUGUGGGAAAAUAUUAAAAUGACCUAUUUUGGGAUGAAAUGAGUAAAUUUUAUGUUAUUUUACUCCGGUUGAUAUAGUUUAGGCCUAAAUGGGUGUUUGGGCUGAGGACUUGCACUCCAAGGUUUAGAGAAGAGAAACGUGGAGAACUAACUUUGAGAGCCGAAAUAUUAGGGGUAAAAAUUAAGUUUGAUUUACUCUGAUUGAUCAUUUGCAAUUAUUAUUUCAUUUUCAUUAAUUACACCCAAAUAUUUUACUGCCAAAAAUAAACUCAGAGUCGGUUAUCAUAUUUCUAUAAAAUGCCAUCAGUCUCAUACUCUCAUUUCAAUUUCAUUUGUAAAUUCAUCACUUUCGUUUGAUUCUAUCUUUUGAAAUCACAAUCACAAUGUUUUUCAGCAAGAAGCAGGAAGGAAUCAAAUCACACAUGGUUUGUGCCGUUCUCUUAUUUACUUUGAAAAUACAUGCAUCUAAUUCAUUUUUUUGUUGUUGUCAAAAACAAAAAAUAACUUUUCAUUUGUUAUUUUUUUUCGUUGUAGACUUGUGCUUUGAAAGUCGACACCAAUACUAAAAAAUGGUCGGAAACUACUACCAAAAUAUUGGAGAAAAUCAAAGGUAUGUGUUUUGUGUCUCAUCCUGCAAGUUUUAAUUUUAAAUCUAUUUGUUUUCUUAUGAUGAAAUAUCUAAAUAUACUAUAUGUUAAUGUUGAUUUUAGGUGUAAACUACAAUUUUGAUACAAAUGAAGGGAUGAUAUACAUCUCAGGAAAAGCAGAUCCACAAAAAAUAUUGAAGAGGAUUGCAAAACAUCAAAAGAAAGUAGAACUUUGUUGGGUUCGGACUGGAGAACAAUAUUCCUAUGGGAACAAUAUGUCUGCUUACCCUACAACAUAUCCCAGUGGAUACUAUCCCCCUCCAUCAGGGUCCUACUAUCAGAAUUUUGAUCCCUAUCAAAAUUAUGAUCCUUAUUUUGGUCCUCAGACUCAUGGUUAUCCUCCAUAUAACAAUUAUUAUAUGUAAAACAGAUGGAUGUUGCACCACUCCAACAGUAUAGUAUUAGUAUCACUGUUGGUGUUUUUGUGUUUUUUAUUAAGUCCUUUGUAUUGGUAUUAGGUCAUAUAAAAUUGAUUUAUGACCUAAUGCUUUGUCCUAGUAUAUGAUCACAUGAGAUCCUUUUUUUGUAAGGUUACUGCUAUGAUUGUGGACCGAUAUUUAUGGUUCAUUAUUAUGAAGUUUAAUGUGAUCCUCGUUAUUUUGUUUUGAAGCAGAUUUAUUUCUUUAUUUAUUUAUUACCUUUGAUCAUGCGAAUCAAAUUUCUCUUGACCGUUGUUUAAUACUACAAUUUUUUUUUAAAGUUUCCUAUAAACAUUAGGGAAAUGCUAACUUUUGCACUUAGGUACAUGUAAGAAAUUUAAAAUAGAAAUUAUGAAUUGAAAAUUAUGUUAUUUAUUUUUCAAGACGUUAAUUUUUUUUUUUUAAUAAAUAAUAAAAUUCUUAAUAUGUGUCCUUAUGAUAUAAGUUAGCAUGACCUAACAUUAUAGUUUAGACUAGAAAGUAGAAACUAAUAUCUCCUAAAAAGGAAUAUUUUUUUUAAUGAAAAAAAGAAUGAUUUUUUGAUCAAUCAUUAAUUGGAAAGAUUAAUUAAAGAAUAAAUCAUUUUAUUGAGCAGAUUUAUUUAUUUAUUACCUUUUGUCAUGCGAAUUAAAAUUUUCUUGACCCUUGUUUACUACAAACUUUUUUUUUGGACAAUUUACUUACUAUAAACUUUAUUACUAAUAUCAUUUUUUUUGUCCGACGUUCAAACCUCGAACCUUGUAUAAAUUAUGCAUUGUUGCUAUCAACUGAAUUUAUACUAAUACUCUUUUUUUGGUGAUGGUCAGGCAUUGAAUCCCAGACAUUGCAUAUAUUAUGCAUUGUCCUAUUCAACAGAGCUAAGUUCACGAUGACAGUUUAUACUAAUACUCUAAUAUUGUAGAAAAUAUAGUGUACGUAUACUACAAACUAAUAUCCAUCCUCUAAAAUGGAAUAUUAUUUUAAUGAAAAAAUGAAUAAUUUUCUCCUGUAUAUAAAAGAAUAUUUUUUUUUUACCAUUGCGUGAAAUUCUUUUACCGGACUUUUAAAGAGAGUUAUGUGAAAUGUAACAUAUUUUCUUAAAAAGAGUUAUGAGAAAUGUAACAGAUUGUCUUUAUGUUAGAUAAGAUUAGAUAACACUACGGAUAUUUUUGUUGUGAUUAUCUUAUUCUUAACCAUUUGUUUGAUCUAUUAGCACCUGAUAAAUUUUCAAAUCAUUACUGUAACGUUCUGGAUUUUAAAUCAAAGACAUUAUGUUUAAUUCUUUUUUUUUAGACAAGACUAUUUUGUUUUUUCUUAACUAGAACAUAACAAAAAUUAAGUAAAUUAAUUAAAUCCUUUGGUAAAUUAAGACUAAAAAAAUUUCUCAAAAAAAAAAAAUUAAGUAAAUUAAUUUAAUUACAAUUCAGAAAACCCAAAUCCUUUGGUAGCUAAAAUGUUGGUUGCAAGGGUUAGUCUUCAACACCCAUGAAAUAAAAUCAAUAAUAAAUUACAACAUCAAAUAGGUGGCAUUUCACAUGGGAAAGGUUAAUUUUUCAACAUAUUCUUUUAAGUGAAGGACAUAUCUUUUAACACUAGAUUUUUCUUCACACUAUCUUUCAACAAUUUAAAAAUUCUAAAAAUUAAUUUUCAGAAAUUAAAAAAAUAUAAAAAAUUCAGAUAAUUUUUUUUAAAAUUCUGUAAUUCAUUUAUUGAAUGUUAAAUUAUUUUUCUUGAAAAAAAAAAUUGUUCAGAAUUUAAUUUCAAAAAAUUAUUUCAAAAUAUUUUCAAAAACCUUAUUUUCCAGAAUUUUAUUUUCUUAGAAAAAUAAAAAACUUUAAUUUUAAAAUAUUUUUUUUAGGAUUUCUAUUUUAUUUUUCAGAAUAUCUUAUUUUAUUAUGAAAUUAAAAAAUAUAUUCUUUUUAGAAAAAUAAAAACUUAUCUUAGUUUCCAAAAUUUUAAUUUUAUUGAAAUAAUUAUUUUUUUUUUCAAAAAAAAAUUCUAACAUUCAAUAAAUAAAUUACAAAAUAAAAAAAUAUAUAUAUGAAUUUUUUUAUAUUUUUUUAAUUUCUGAAAAUUAAUUUUCAGAAUUUUUAAAUUGUUAGAAUAUAGUGUGAAGAAAAAUCUAGUGUUGAGAGAGCAUGUUAAGAAUAUGUUCUUCACUUAAUCUAAUCAUUGAAUACAACUAUCAUCAAGGAAUUGUGCUAAAAUAAUUUCUUUUUAGUUUAAAAUAUUGAUCACUAUAAAACAUGCUAUAAGAACAAACACAAGACCCAAACUCAAUGUUGGAGAUGCAGAUGCAUGAAAUGCAAACAGACCAUGAUCCGGAUAUCGCCCCAAUUGGCAUAAUAGUUUUAAUCGCCUCAUUUGACAUAUAAUAAUAAUCGCCCCAUUUGACACAUAAUAAUAAUCGCCCCAUUUGGCACUUAAAAAAUCCAUUGAAUCGCCCCAAUUGGCAUAUAAUAAUAAUCGUCCAAUUUGGCACUUAAAUCCAUUGAAAUAAUAAUAAUCGCCUCAUUUGGCACUUAAGAAUCCUUUGAAAUAAUAAUAAUCGCCCUAUUUGGCACUUAAGAAUCCACUGAAACAAUAAUAAUAAUAAUCGCCACAUUUGGCACUUAUAAAUCCAUUGAAAUAAUAACAAUCGCCCCAUUUGGCACUUAAAGAUCCAUCAAAUGCAAUGAUAUGCAUGCUAUGCACUUUUCUAUAAAUUACAAACUUUUCUGACUCUUGAACCACAUAAUUAUCAAUUUCAUAUCAUCACUAAACUUCAAAAUCAGUAAACUUUAACACAACCACAUAUACAACGAAAAUCACUUUAACUCAACAGCAUUUCUCAUUGCAUAAAUAAGAAAACAUCAAGAUUUACACAUUCAUCAAAUCACAUACUUUAACAAAAUUGCAACUCACCAAUUCAUAUAAUUAUCAACUACAAGAAAAUUAAUAAAAUAUAAUAAAUCUUUUCACUCAUCCAUGAAUCAAGAAGCAUAUUAAAUUCAACGUCAUAAUCUAUCAUUUUCAAUUAAAUCAUGGCCAAGACUAGGGCCCUUACCUUAGGAGCUUUACUUCCUUAACACUACUUUAAGUCUCAAAUUCGUGUAUGUAUUGCAGCCACUAUUCUCUUACUCUAGACAUACUUUGACGAUCAGAUCGUUGAAAACGAAGAAUCACGUGUUAUGAACACCGCCAAAAAUCAGCCCAAUCAAACUAUCAACGAAACCGUAGUCGCGAUUCUUAGGCUUCCAUGAAUUUUACAGAAAAGUGGUUGAUAGAUGAAUACUUAAAGGACUAAGAAAGUAAUUUGGAUGAACAAGAGAUGACAAUGGGAUUAAGGGUGUGAUGCGUGAAUGAUUAGCUUGAGAGCACAUGAUUUAUAAAGGAAAAGGCAUGCAGAUGAGGUCUGAUAUUGUUAUGAUGUGAGACGGCAAGGAGCACGGUUAUGGGAGUUAGAGAAACAAAUAAAGGAUUUUGCAAUAUGAAUUGUGAUAGCCUAAAAUAACUAACUAAAAGAAAAAUACUCCACUCACACAAUCCUAAACGUGGGUUAUUGUUAUGGAGGAACUUGUCAAUCCACUAACCUCCUAAAACGUGCACAAACACACAGGCUCACUAUAUUUUUCUGUUUAAUUGAAUUAUUUCUUUUCUUAAAUUAAACCUUCUUAAUUUAUUUUUGAGAAAUUAACUUGAUUCUGCACACAAAAGAACCUUACUAACCCCUUUCUACUUUUCAAAUAAAAGUAAAUCAUAUAACUAUGCUAUUGGUAUCAGGUGUUGCGUUAGUAGAAUAGGUAAGACUAGUUUACCACUUCUAUCUAAUUUAAUAAAAUAAACUAAAAGCUAAUGUAUCACACCCAAUAAAAAUAGUAGAUAAAUAAUAUUUUAAUUAAAGCAAAGAGUGUCACAUUAAAUUGUCUAAAUAUAAUAAAUAAAUAAAUAAAUUAUUAAUUAAAUAAAAAUGAAGAAAUUCAUUAAGAAGGACAUAUAUAUAAUUUCAUAAAAAUAUCGGGAUGUUACAAAUACGGUAGUUAUUAGAGGAAAAAAUAUGUCGAGAUGACCGUGUAGUUAAACCAAAUUCAUAUUCUAACAUAGUGAUAUUCUUAACAAUUUGUUUGAUUUUUUUAGUUCAGAGAAAACCUUCCAAAUUGUUCAGGGACAUGCAGCGUAGUAAAACCAAAUUCCCGUCCCCAUACUCUAAUUCUAUAUAGUUGUUAUCCAUUACCAUACCUGUAUCCAGCACAAAUGAGAAAUUUAAUUACAUCCCCAUCUUUGAUGGGUAUGGGUAUCAUCACCCCAUCUCCGCGGUGGAUAAUUUUUUAUAAUAAAAAUAAAAGUAUUUUUCAACCCCGAAUCAAUGUUGUAAUGCAUUAUCCAGUAAAUAGAUGAUAACGAUCAAUGACUAUGAUGAUGGAGAAGAGAGGUCGGGAGUGUGAGAGAUGGAAGGAGAAAAGAGAGAACUAUGAUAAACGAGUGUCAUAUGAAAUAUCACUGAAAUGAUCUAGAGUUUGAGUUUCUAUUUAUAUAGAAGGAUAAUAAAUUGAUUUUCUACAUUUGAGAUGAGCUUGGGUAUGGGUUCGGCGUAGAUACUUAUAUCCCGUCACCUGUACCUGUGCUUUGAAAUCGAGGAAAACUCAUACUCAUAUCCAAACCUAGUCAAAACGAGAAAAACCCGUCCAAUUAGGUUUGGUUCAGGCUGAUACCCGCGGGCAUGAGUUAUGUCUCCCAUUUUGAAUUGCUCAUUUCCCUAAAAAGUCGAACGUAAGUUAACUCAUGUAGUGUAUUUUCAACAUGAAUUAACUCACAUAUGUGUAUUUUUCAAUGUGAGUUAACUUACAUAACAUGUGAGCAUAAAAGAAGAGCAAGUCCCCCAUAAAAAAAUGUCGAAAAAACACGUCAAAAAAAAUAUUGAGAUUACCUAUCACAAUGGGGUGCUUAGUUUGUAAGACCAUCUACAAUGGGGAGUCCUUCCCCAAGCACCAUUGUAAAUAGGCACCAUCUCUCUUCUAUUACUCAUGGGUUCCACGUGUUCAAUUAAUUCUAUUAUAUAUAUAUAUAUAUAUAUAUAUAUAUAUAUAUAUAUAUAUAUAUAUAUUUAAUUAUUGUAUUAUUUUGAUAUUAAAAAAAUAAUUAUAUAAUAGUUGUAAAUAAUAAUUGAAUUUGAUUUCCUUAAAAAAAAAUAGUUGAAGAUAAUAUUGCAUAAUAUGAUUGUAGAAGACGAACAACACAUAUGAUGGUAAUUUUAAUUAUGAUCAUUCCAACAAUGAUUUUGCAAGGAAUGAAAUACAUAAUGGUCCUCAUCCAAAUAUUGCCCCGUAUCUACAAAGGAGAGCACAAAUUUAAGAUAGACAAACUCAUCUUCAACUUCAACUUCAACAUGAUCUUGUGGAGCAUAUUUGAUAACGCUUGAGUGAUAGUCAAUAAGAUUAGUUGUUAUUUAGAUUAUGUAAUUUAUCAUCAUUUAUUUUAUAUUGUUUUUUCCAGUUUUAACUUUUUCUUGAAUUAUUAAUAAAAAUAAAAAUGUUUGUUUUUUUAAUAAUUUAUAAUUAAAUUAUUUUAAUAUUUUAAAAUUAUAUAAAUAUGAAUGAGUAUAUAAAUUAUUGUUAAAAUGUAAUGAUAUAGAGUUAUUGUUGGGACCUAAUUAAUAAUUAUUUUAAAGUGCUGGGUUGGAGAGAUUGAGUGGUUAUUAAAUAUUAAUUAUAAAACGAACGACGUAUACAGUCAGAAUCCAUUUAAGCAUCCAAUUUGGGUGCUGCAUUGUAGAUGGUCUAAAUUCUUUAUAGGGUUUAAUUUUACUAUUUAGUAAAUAUCGGCAUGCUGGUUUUUAAUUCUAUUUUUUUUCCCCUUGUUUAGAGUCAACUCCAUUGUUCCCGAUAAAAUAAAUUAGUCUACCAAAAUUUGUAUUGAAAAAAUUUAACUUAUGAUUUUAAGAAGAUACACUCCAAAGUUUAUACCUUAAAAAAAUCAUUUCAAAGUUUUAAAUCAAUACCAUCUGACCAACGUAAAGGUUGGUUCUCAAGGUUGAAAGUUGAAUCGGAUGUUAUAAAUCUUUGUCUUAUAUAUUUUGAUAUGCUGUUUUAAUUUUUCUCAAGUCUAUUUGGUUUUGACAACUGCUUUUGAAUUUUUCUCAAGUCUAUUUUUAUAUUCUUGUUAUGCCAGGCUCCAGAGAAAUUUCAUGGCUGGGUUGGCUAGGUCCAUUUUCACAAAUUACAAAACAAACCACUUUUUUUUUUUUUUUUUUUUUUUUUUUACAAACAAAACAAACCACUUGAUCGGCCACAAUUCCCCAUUAGGAAAAAAAUAUCAAUGACAUAAUUAAAAGAUAUUAUUAAAUGAGUAAGUUUUAUUUCUAAAAUACUUAUAUUUUUAACUUAAUUAUAUAAAUGGUCUCUUAACUUAUUUCUUGUUUUCAAUUUGAUCCCUUAAUUUUAAAUUUUUUCUGUUUGGUCUUUUAAAUAUAGUUCCGUUAGCCCUUUUAGUCCGAAUCUGUUAACUUUAACCAUAAAUGUGUAAAGUGGAUCAACAUUAUACGUUGUCCAUCGUAGAUCUUAUUAAAUUUUUUAAUUUUAACUGUUUGAUCUUGUAUUUUAAAAGGGAAUCGUUGGAUAUUGCAGGUUUAUUAUAUCUUAUUGUGCAUCACCAACAUCUAUUUUUUUUUUACAUUUCUUCAUCUUCUUCUUCUUCUUCAUACACAUUCAUCAAUCUUCAUCUUUAAACCCAUAAAAUCAAAAAUCAAACACUCAAAUUUAUUUAUUAAUUACCAAACUGUCCUUGUUCAUAUCUUCAUCUUCUUGUUCAUAAUCUUAAAAAAAUUCAGAAAAUCAUUAAAAAAAAGUUGGUCUUAAAAACUACCAAUAUUAACUAAAACACCUUUUUACCUUUUUUUUUCCUCCUUUCAAUAAUACUUCAUAAUAUAAAAGAGCAUAAUCACAAUAUUUCAGGAAAAAUAAAAAUGAAAAUCCCUCUCAAAAGUUUGCACCAAAUUACAUUGGACACUAAAUUGAAGUUGGGAAAAGAAUUAUAAAAGGAAAUAUUUUCUUGGAAAUUGUGUAUUCUACUUUUUGAAAGUUAAUAAAGUGUUCUUUUCAAUGCAAAACUUGACUUUCCUUUCUACUUUUAGUUCCUUAACUAAUGCCCCGGAGGCACUGGUUAACAAGACCCAAACCUAAUCAUCAUAAUUUGCACUAUAUCAAACACAAACACUAGUCCAUGAAUCAAUCAUGUAGAAUGCCCAAAAUGUCCUCAUCCCUAAACAAAUGAAAAUCUUUGUCAUCAAGCUUAAUUUGAGAGCCACUGUAUUCCGGCAAGAGAACGUGGUCACCUUCUUUGACAGCCAUCGAAAUGGUGAAAGAAGGUGACCACAUUCUCUUGAAUAAAAGGAACAUGAUGUUUAUAUGAACAUCACUACUAGAAAAAUUGAAAUUAGACACGGGAGAAAUCUGUCUCUAAAUUGCCAUCUUUCCGUCACUAAACUUGUUAGAGACGGAAUUUGAGACCGAUCAUGUUUUGUUGCUAAAUCAGUGGUCUCUAAACUGUUUAGAGACGAAUUUUUUGUUCCGUCUCUAUCGGAGACGGAAAAUUUCCGUUGCUAACAAUUAAAUUCCGUCGCUACGCGUUGAUGUUGUAACAAAUUAAAUUCCAUCUCCGAAGAAUAUAAUUCCGUCUCUGUAGAGACAGAUCAUAAAUUCCGUCUCUAAUAAUAAAUUUUUUAAUUUUUUUUUUGCCUCAAAUCAAUUCCACGUUGGCUGUUGGAUACUAUAUAAGCAUACAUGUAUAUUUUAUGAAUUUUGCUUGAGUGUAUAUAUAGAUAAUAACGUAACAUCAAAUGCUAUGGAUUUCCUAAUGAAUUUUGCUUAUAUAGUUAAUAACAUAACAUUAUCUAUAGAUAAUAACAUACCAUUAUCUACUAGAAAUACAUGUAUAUUCGACAUCUAAUGUGUAGUCCAUAGCAUCUACAAGAAAUCCAUAGCAUCCACUAGGAAAUCUGUAACCAAAAAUAUUAGCAAGCUGUAAGUAAUAAAACCAAGAUAGCUGUAAGUAAUAAAGACAGAAUUAUAAUGUAAUCUGCAUCUUCUUUAUUGAAACAUAAGAUAGGUGUAUUUCAAAUACAUUUCUAUAAUAGCCACCUUUUCGAAUCAGCAGUCCUAAUUAUGUGGUAACAACCGAAAAGUUUAUUAGUGGCAUAGAAAACAAAUAAAAAUAUGGCUUAAAGAACUGAUUUAGAUCAAAUUUCAGGCUCUAUAAAUCAGGUUUAAAAGUAGUAAGAUAAAAUGAUUCAAAUACAAGAUCAUUGUAUGAACCAAACCUUUCACUGCAGAAAACCCAGAACAACUUAGCCUAUGGAAUUGAGACUUUACCUUUCAUUUGGUCCAUCACAUGCAAUGUUUCAUCUUUUGCUGGUGUUUUAAGUUCACAAUCUAUGACAUGUUCAACUCCAAGAACCAAACCUUUUCCCCUCACAUCCACAACUGCUAUAAAAGAAAAAAUACAAGUUUAUUUAGAGAGAGAGAGAGAGAGAGAGAGAGAGAGAGAGAGAGAGAGAGAGAGAGAGAGAGAGAGAGAGAGAGAGAGAGAGCAAAUUUUGAUUAGCUGUUUAGAUAUAACCUUUUGUUCUCCAUUACAUGAGUGCUUUCUUGCGCAUUAAUCUUGGAUGGGAAAAGGAUAACUGAAGAAACCUUACAUUCAUGUUUGUCUUUGAGUGCGUUAAGCCUCUCUUUCAAAUUGGACCCCACUAUUCUAUUACUUUUCAAACACCCAAUCCCAAAGUUGUUAAAGUAACUUAGAUGAGUCAAGACCUUUGCAAUCUUAGGAGUAGUUACAACAACACCUAGAGGAAUGCCAUUUCCAAUACCUUGUCAAAAGAAAAAUCAAGAAAACAAGGAAACACUAAUGAGCAUACAUACUUGACAAGGUUAUGCAUUUCAUCAUGUGUAGAUAUAGAUGUUCUAUAUUCUUUGGCACAGAGAGUUAGCUGUUCUAUUUUCUAAAUUAGAUGAAGAUGAAUUCUUUCUACUCUGACAAGGAGAGAAGAAUUAGUUGCCUUUGCCAUUUUUACUAUAUUAGGUUGAUCACCAUGGGCUUCAAAUCCCUAGAAAUGGCUACCAUUGCGAUCAAACCUAGAUUGAACCACGUUAGCAAUACAAAGACCUACAAUUUUUAAAGAAAUUAGUUGUACUUCAUGAUACAUAAGCUUUUACAGAAAUCAAAAUUAUACUAUCCAAAUCAAGCUAAGACAUAAACACACACAACAUGAGACAAUAUUUCCAUACUCUAAAUUCUAUUGGUAAUCUGAAUUUUCGCACUGGUGUAAUUAUAAAGAAAAUUAUAGUUUCAAAACUUAACUUUUGAAAAAAGAAAUAUAUACCAGUUGUUUGCCUGUAACAGGGAAUCAUCUAUGAUGCUUUCUUGUCUAACUUUCCUCUAUGUGUUCAUUAUACCAAGCUUGUCAUGUAACUAUAUAAAUGAUAGUGAAUAUUCAACUCAAUACCCCUGCUGAACAUGAACAUAAUGUAUGACAUUUUAUCAAGUUAUUGAGUAAUUGAGUUGAUAAAUCCCAAUAGGUUAUAGUCUAUAAUCAAGGUAGUCUAAAGCUUAUCUAGAAACAGAGAAAUCCAAUUUAAAAAAUUCCAUAAAGGGUGUCUGAUUUCUAGCAACUUUGUAAAUAUUGAUAACAAAAAAUCCACUUACAUGAUGAUUCUAUAAUCAAUUUAUGAAUUGUUUUACCUAAUGAAAUGUACCGUUACACAUUGAAUAGCAUGACAAAGCAAUUUAUUGAAACUAACCUCACUGUAGUUGCUGAAAUAUCAACCACCAACCUAAAGUUCAAUGAGAAAAAAGUGUCAGUAUCAGUUAAAAAAAUUACAAAAAGAAGUAAACAAGGAUGAAAAGAAGUAUGACUCAAAAAAAAAAGGAUGAAAAGAAGUAAAUCAAUUCUAUUUUGCCAAAAUUAACAACUUCAACGUGAGAUUUGGCUAUCGACACAAUUUUCCCCCAAAUCAAAAAAAAAAAAAAAAAACCCCUAAAAUCCCCCUACACAACAAGAAUCAAAUUCAUCAAUAGAACUUCCACAAAAAACAAGAAUCAAAUAUAAAACAACAAGUACUCACUCAAAAUCAUUAGGUGCGGAUGAGACCCUUGAAGCUUUGUACCCUAUGCAAAAACAAGGAUAAAUGAAGGUGAAGGAGAACGAGGGUAGAUAAGAAAUGUAAUUUUGACUACGCAUAAACCACAAACCGUCGCCAACAUAGGAAGAUCAGUCGAAGACAGAGAGAAAACGAGGGUGAAGGAGGGUCUUGAAUGAAGGAUUUCUGGAGAAUGAGGGUUUUUUGUGAGUCGAAGACAGAGAAAUUUUUUACUACGCAUAAACCGCAAACCGUCGAAGACAUAGGAAGAUCAGUCGAAGACAGAGAGAAAAUUGUUUUAGGGUUUUGAGAAAAUAUGAACUGAUGGGGGAAGUUUUGGGGUUGGAAGGAUUUUUCUAAUGAAAAAUUAAUCUCGUCUAUACUCCCUUCCGUCUCUGAACUCCGUGACCACAUAUAUAUUAUUUUUUAAUUUUUUUUAUUUAUACUUGUUAGAGACCGAUUUAGACACGGAAAAUUUUUAUGACGGAUAUUUCUGUCUCUAAUUCAGUCUCUAGUGUUGGAAUUUCAGAUUCCGUCUCCACUUAUAAUGUUCCGUCUCUGAUCCCGUCUCAGCUAGAGACCAAUUAAAUUCCGUCUCUAAAUUCCGUCGUUAUAUGAAACUUUUCUAUGGGUUUAUAUGUUUAUAUCUAAUUUUUACUUUUAUUAAAAAUUAUGGGUUUAUAUGAACAUGAUGUUGAAGAAGAUGAAGAUCAAGGAGAAGAAUGAUGAAAGAGAUGAAUAAAAGGAAAAUAAUUAUGUGGUGAUGGUGCAAUAUGAUACAAUGGACCUACAAUCAAGUGGUUAAAAUCACAUCAUAAAUAUUAUACAUUAAAAAACUAACGGCGAGGACUAACUUCACUAAUGGAGGUGUAUAUGAGGGACCAAAUGGAAAUUUUUUAGAAUUAAGGAACCAAAUCAAAAACAACAAAUAAGUUAAAGGACCAUCUAUGUUACUAAGCCUAUAUUUUUUUAAAACAAAAUAAUACUAUUUUCCCAAUAAAACAAUAAAAAUAUAGAAAGGAAAGGAGUAAAAUAUAAGAAUUUUGUAAAAACUAAAAAGAAAAAAGAAUGAGGAAAGUAUGGUUACAAAUAUUUUUAGUCACAAAACAAUACAUAUCAUUUAGGGGAUGUAUUGGAUUAGGAUUCUAUGGGAUUUUAAAACACUUUUUAAUUAUGAAAAAAAUCUUGUGGUAUUCAAUCAAGAUUUUUUGCAACUUAAAAAAAGUCUUGUGGUAUUCAUUCAAGACUCUUUGUCAUUUUAAAAAAGUCUUGAGGUAUUCAAUCAAGACUUUUCAUCACUUAAAAAAAGUCUUAUGGUAUUCAAAAUCAUUCAAAUUUCGAAGGAUUGUUUAAUAAAUUGGAUUUUGAUGGAUUUUGUGGGAUUUUAUAGUGUAAUUUUAACAAGAAAAAGUCUUUCAUGAAAAGAUGAGAUUUCUUGAUAUUGUUUUUCUUUUGUAAAGUUACUAUCUCUCUCUCUCUCUCUCUCUCUCCCUAUUCUCUCCUUUCUCUCUUUGUUUCUCUAUCUCUCCAUUAUCUCUCUCUCUCUCUCUCAUCUCUCAUCCCCCCUCUCUCUAUCUCAUAAAAAAAUAAAAAAUUGUAUUGAGAAUAUUAUGAUAGAGAGUAUGUCGUAAUCAAUGUUCCGCAGAUCGAGUGUUAACUCUCCGAGAUUACCGAAUUUACGAUUUUAGGUACAAAAAUCGUGUUAACUCUGAGGUAAAAUCGGUUUCUGAUAAAAUUGGAAGGUUUAACGAGUUUGACUGAGUUAACACUCGGUAAACUCGUGUAACUCGACCGAUUUGUAAUGGCUGACACAAUAUUUUUUUUUUAAAGAUUUGUAAGUGCUGGCAUAAUUUUAAAUAUGUACAAUUGAAUUUUGUGGAAAUAACAUUUUUAAAAAAUAAAAAAUGUGUAUUGAGAAUAACGUGUUAGAGUGUUUUUUAGUCCCUUAAAAUCUUAUAAAAUUCAUAAAAUUUAAAAAUCAAUAGGAAAAGAAUUUUUUAUUGGUUUUAUUUUUCUUUAUUCAAACGCUAGAAUUUAUUUGUUCAUUAUUUUUAUCAUUCACGCUUGUAAGUUUGUUCUUUUUCCCCUAAAAUUCAUUGAAUCCUUUGAAAUUUUAAAAUCAUUUAAAAUCCUUAAAAGUCAGUGUGAUAAAUCCUUUAAAAUCUCACAGAAUCAAGCAAUCUCACACAGUCUUUUAAAAUCUUAAAGACUUUUUUUAUUAAAAUAGUCUUUUAAAAUUCUAAUCGAAUACACCCCCUUAAUUUAUUUUUUUUGGUCAGAAAAAUAUAUGAUUUUUUUUUUUAAGGAACCAUUUAAUUAUUUUUAAAAUAUAUAUUAUUUUUUUCUCAUUUCAAUUUAUUUUAAGUGUGUAAGUAUAUUCAAAUAGAGUUGUGACAGUCGAUAAGCAAUCAACCAACCAGGUAUAGCAAGAUGGCUUGGUGGUAAAGUCAAAGCCCAAAGGCGCCGCUUGGAAACAAAACAACAACGACAGCGGUAAUUCACAAAACCAAAGUGGUAUUGGAAUACGUUUCUUGUCCAAAAAUUAAAGUUGAAGUAAAAUGUUUCUUGUCCAAAAAUUAAAAUUAAAUACUAGAGUAUGUUUAGAAAAUUAUUCGUUUUUUCCUUUCCUUUGUCACUACUAUAAAUAAAGCUCACUGAUACGUACUUGGUUCCACACACAAUUUACUCUUCUAGCAAAGCAAACAACGGACAUUUUAACUAUGUCGAACACUACUACUGGUCAGGUGAUCAAGUGCACAGGUACCAUCUCCUCUUUUUCUCUUUGUUACAAACAUGUUGAACAAAUUGUGUUUUGCUUUUUAUGGAUCUUUCAUUUUGUUUCUACAAAUUUUAAGUUUUUUUUAUUAAUAGUUUUAUUUUAUCUACACACUAUACUUGCACACUAUAUUUUUAUGAUUGCCACAUGCAUACAACAACUUAAUGAAUCCCUUGAUUGUGUUUUUGAACCAGCUGCGGUUGCAUGGGAGGCGGGGAAGCCACUGGUGAUGGAAGAAGUAGAGGUGGCACCACCGCAGGCCGGUGAAGUCCGUCUCAAGAUACUCUUCACCUCCCUUUGUCACACCGAUGUUUACUUCUGGGAAGCUAAGGUAUAUUACUAAUUAACCACACACACAUUUUCUGUCUAUUUGUCUAUGAGAAAAGUUAUUUCGACAACCCAAAAAAUUCAUAAGAGAAUUUUCUCUUAUGUAGUUUGGUUUGAUUACAUAACACGUUGGGGUGCUUAGUUUCUAACAAAAAAGUUAAUUUAUGUAAAAUUCUUCUCGGGUUUAAUUUUAGUUAGAACAUAUUAGCUUCCUGGUUUUUGGUUUAGUUUUAUAAAAAGGUUUUGAUGUUCUGUUGUGCAUUGCAGUGAUUUAAUAUGGUUUUCCCUUGUUUCAGGGUCAGACUCCAUUGUUUCCUCGAAUAUUUGGUCAUGAAGCUGGAGGGUAUGCUUCUCAUAUAGUAGUAUUAUUGAUUAAAUCUUUUGAUUAUCUAAUUUAUUAUGUAAUGUGAAUGAGUUUUAUUGAUAAUUGUCGGCACAAUGUUGAUCAGGAUCGUGGAGAGUGUAGGCGAGGGUGUGACACAUCUAACACCAGGCGAUCAUGCCCUGCUUGUAUUCACAGGGGAGUGUGGGGACUGUCCACAUUGUAUGUCGGAGGAAAGCAACAUGUGUGAUCUUCUUAGGAUCAACACUGACAGGGGUGUUAUGAUCAAUGACAACCAGUCAAGAUUCUCUAUUAAGGGACAGCCCAUUCACCAUUUCGUCGGUACAUCUACAUUCAGCGAGUACACUGUGGUUCAUGCCGGAUGUGUUGCAAAGAUCAACCCUGAUGCACCACUUGACAAAGUUUGUAUUCUCAGCUGUGGAAUAUGCACAGGUAUAGGAGAUUCCAAUGUUUAGAUAUUUAUAUAUAAUUAGGCUGAGUCUAUGUUUCUCUAAUUCAAUUUGCUUCCAUGCUUUUACAGGUCUUGGUGCUACUAUCAAUGUAGCUAAACCAAAACCCGGUUCAUCUGUUGCUAUCUUUGGCCUUGGAGCUGUUGGGCUUGCGGUAUGUUACUCUUAUACCUUGAGUGUGCAUGCACGUGUUUGUGCGUGUUGCAAAUUGCAAUUAUUAUCGGAAAUGAAAAGAGCCAAUAUUAACUUCUGCCCUUCUCUUAAACCAAAAUUUAGGCUGCUGAAGGAGCCAGGAUAUCUGGUGCAUCAAGAAUCAUUGGAGUUGAUUUAGUUUCCAGCCGAUUUGAAUUAGGUACAGUGCUUUCUUAUUCCAUCAAAUGCUUGUAGAUUCUGGUUAACAUGAAUUCAAUGACUAUUUCUUUUAUUGAUGGCAUUUCUUAUUUUUUUCUUGUUGACAGCUAAGAAGUUUGGGGUAAAUGAGUUUGUAAACCCGAAAGAUCAUAACAAACCUGUUCAACAAGUUAGUUCAUUGACAAUUUAGUAUAUAGUAGUUUAUUAUAUUUCUGUUUUCAAUUUUGAAUUUUAAAGCAUGAUUCUAUGAAUUAUAAUGUUGUUGGUGUGCAGGUAAUUGCUGAAAUGACAAAUGGAGGUGUGGAUCGUGCUGUUGAAUGUACCGGGAGCAUCCAGGCCAUGAUCUCAGCUUUCGAAUGUGUCCACGAUGUAUGCAAAACAAAAUUCAUUUGUUCUAACUUGUUGCUAAAGAAAUUAUAAAGCUUAUUGAGGCUAAAGCUGAACCUUUAUUUGUUUUUCUUAGGGUUGGGGUGUUGCUGUACUUGUUGGAGUGCCAAACAAAGAUGAUGCAUUUAAAACACAUCCUAUGAAUUUGUUGAAUGAAAGGACUCUUAAGGGUACCUUUUAUGGUAACUACAAGCCUCGCACCGAUCUUCCUAAUGUUGUAGAGAAGUACAUGAAAGGGGUAAGUUUUUAUAUCAUAUUUUGAAUUGUGAAGUCUUUUAGGAGAAUUGAUAUUGCAGAAUUAUAUCUUAUCCGUGUGUUGAAGCUAAUUUGAUUUGUUAAUACUGCAGGAGCUGGAACUUGAGAAAUUCAUCACUCACUCAAUCCCAUUUUCAGAGAUUAACAAAGCUUUUGAUUACAUGCUGAAAGGAGAGUCCAUCAGAUGCAUCAUCCGAAUGGAGGAGUAAAACUCUAAAACAAUGAUGUAAUAAUCCCUACUAAGGGACUCAUUUCUCUCCUUGGUUGUUGAGAAAAAAAAUUUCAUAAAUAAUUCUUUUGGAUUAUGAAGUUUGUGAGAAUUUGUGAAGUUUACAUGUAAAGAAUUGUGCUGUUGGGAUUCUCUAAUACAAGAUAAGCUAGAUUUUGAUUUUGUGAUUUUUUAUUGUUGUGGUAUUUUAAGUGAUUUUUACUCUACAAAGGAAAAAGGGUAAACAGUCCAAACAAAACACUAAGAAGAAACCAUACUACCCUCAAAGAUGAUAUACUAUCAGAAAAAUAAACAAAAGGCUGAAAUCUAGAGCCAAACUGUAAGGAGUUUACAAAAUUAUGCAGAUGCUAUCAAAGUAAUUUUCUUCAAUAAUAUUUUGUCGUUUUUUUUCACCAAUUCUCUAUCCCUAUUCAUAGAUGCUAAACAUAACAUAAAUUAGUCUAUUUGGCUUACUGCUAACGAACCAAACAUGAUAUUGAUUCAUAACCAUAAGAUUCCUCCAUAGCAAUAGGCUUCAGCAGGAAUCAAAUUUUGAUUCCUUAACCAUGUAUAUCAAUUCACAUUGGCCUCAACUACUUGUUCUCUAUUUAUUUUACAGAAUCAUCAUACACACUUUAUGCACAUUGUUGAACAAAUUCGUCAUAUUUUUCUAUUAAUAUAAUUUUAUUUUUGUAUUAAUUUACUCACUAGUUUUUUCGUAGUAUUUCUUUAUUGAAGAUUCAACUAAGCUUGGACUUCAUCUUUUUGACCAGCUCAUCGGCACGCUCUUGUAGCCUCCUAAUAUUAGAUGCAAGUCCAUACAAGAGCUCUUGUGCACAUUUUCCCUCGCUAGUCAAUCCUUCUGGCUUCUCCAAUCUCACCGUCCAAUCAAGAACUCUAAUCUAUCAAUGUAGUCACUAAUCAUGUACACACCAAUACAUUGUGUCAAUGCGGAAAAAUGACUGAAGAUGUAUGGGUUCCCACAAUCAUUCAUCAAUUGUCUGUGAAUCUUUAUGUUGUUACUUACUAUCAUUUUUGCUACCGUGUAUGUGGGGUCCACUUCUCGAAGCUUUUCAACAAUUCUCUCGUAUGCAAUCUCAUGGCGUUUCUCAUGCGCAACGAUUGUGUUGCAUAUGUUUGCAAGCACUAGAUCAACACUCUCGAUAGCCACUCGAGCCAUACUUACUACUAUCCAAUACAAAAAUUGCUCGUUUUUUGGAAGGAUGUUUACACAAAUGUAUGGGUUGUUUUCUACGGAAAAUACUUGGUGACAUUGUGUUUUGGCGAUAUUGAUGACUUUAAUGUAUUUAAUCGAUAGAUGAAUGAUUAAAAUAAAUUAUAUUGAUGAUGAUAUAUACAUUCUUAAUGAAUUAUUUAAUUUCUCCCGAUUUUCCUUGCUUUUUUUUUUUAAAAUGGAGAAGAUAUUAAAGUAAAAAAAAAAAAAAAAAAAAUCAAUGCAUGAAAAUUGAAAAGUAAAAGAACAACGAUUAUGGAAAUAUAUUUAUUCUUAAGACAACUUGGUCAUUCAAGAGAUGUUUAUGAUCAUGGCUGUAGUGAUUCUGAACAAUCAUCUCAAGUUUUCUCAUAUUAUUUACAACCCAAUCCAUGUGAAAAAAAAACAUGCCCGAUGGUCAUGCCAAUGUACUAGCUCAUUUUAACAACUCUAAAACAAACAACUUAGAAAAGAAACUUGAGAAAAACGACGCACUCACACUUAUAGGUAAAAAAGAUAUACAUGUAUAAAAGUAAAAUAAAAUAUGUAAAAAAAAAUCACCUUAAUGAAUCAUAUCAAUGAUAUAAUUAAAAAAUCACCUUAAUUGAAAAUUAUUUUUUACAAUAAAACAUCAAAAUUUAGAUAAAAAAAAGUAUUAAGAAUAAGAAGGGAAAAGAAAAGGGGAAAAAGUCAAUAAGACAGAGAGUCGAAAACCAGCUUAUGUUGGUUGGUGGCAAAGUCAAAGCCAAAGGCGCCGGUUGGAAAUAAAACAACAGCAACAGCGGUAUCCCACAAAACCAAACCAAACCAAAGUGGUAUGUAUUUUAAUGUUUCUUGUUUAAAAAAAUUAAAGUACUAUACUAUGUUUGGAAAUAGAAAAUCAUUCGUUUAUUUUCUAUUCCCACUAGUGCAAGUACUAUGCACCUAUAAAGGUCACUGACACGUAGUUAGUUCCAAACACAACACAACACGAGUACUAGUAGCAUUGCAAAGCAACAAACAACUUACUACUCACCCAUUCGAUUCCAUUCUAAAUUUUCUGUUCAUUCAUCAUGUCCAACACUGCUGGUCAGAUCAUCAAGUGUAGAGGUACCAUCUAUUUAUCUCAAAUUUUGUUUUGAUCUUGUUUUCUAGAAUAUUUUAAUCAUCGAUCCAUCCUUUUUUUUUUUUUUUUUUUUUUAUAAGGAUCCUUCCAUUUAAACUGUUUUAUUUUUAUUUUUAUGAUUUCACUGAAUUAUGUGAUUUUCUUAACUGAAUCCCUUGUGUCCGGUGUUUGUACUCGUGUUUCAUAUCAUACUACUUACUAACUGAAUCCCUUGAUUGUGUUUUGGAACCAGCUGCGGUUGCAUGGGAAGCGGGGAAGCCGCUGGUGAUGGAAGAAGUAGAGGUGGCUCCACCGCAGGCCGGUGAAGUCCGUCUCAAGAUACUCUUCACCUCCCUUUGUCACACUGAUGUUUACUUCUGGGAAGCUAAGGUAUUUUUUUGAUUACAUAACACGGCGGGUGCUUAGUUUUCUUACACAAAAGUUAAUUUAUGUAAAAUUCUUCUUAGGUUUUCAUGUUCUGUUUUGCAUUGCAGUGAUUUAAUAUGGUUUUCUUGUUUUCCUUUGUUUCAGGGUCAGACUCCAUUGUUUCCUCGUAUAUUUGGUCAUGAAGCUGGAGGGUAUGAUUCUCUUCUGAACAUUGAAAGUUGAAUCACAUAUUAUAAAUCUUUCUCUUUAUAUAUUAUUGAUUAAAUCUGUUUGAUUAUCUAAUGUGUUAUGUAAUGUGAAUGAAUGUUAUUGAUAAUUGUUGGCCUAAUGUUGAUCAGGAUUGUGGAGAGCAUAGGCGAGGGUGUGACACAUCUAAAACCAGGCGAUCAUGCCCUGCCUGUAUUCACAGGGGAGUGUGGGGACUGUCCACAUUGUAAGUCGGAGGAAAGCAACAUGUGUGAUCUUCUUAGGAUCAACACUGACAGGGGUGUUAUGAUCAAUGACAACCAGUCAAGAUUCUCUCUUAAGGGACAGCCCAUUCACCAUUUCGUCGGUACAUCUACAUUCAGCGAGUACACUGUGGUUCAUGCCGGAUGUGUUGCAAAGAUCAACCCUGAUGCACCACUUGACAAAGUUUGUAUUCU
rnacentral:lncRNA from 1 species